GGUUAAGCGACUAAGCGUACACGGUGGAUGCCCUGGCAGUCAGAGGCGAUGAAGGACGUGCUAAUCUGCGAAAAGCGCCGGCGAGGUGAUAUGAACCCUUGACCCGGCGAUGUCCGAAUGGGGAAACCCAGUGCAAUCCGUUGCACUAUCGUUAACUGAAUACAUAGGUUAACGAGGCGAACCGGGGGAACUGAAACAUCUAAGUACCCCGAGGAAAAGAAAUCAACCGAGAUUCCCCCAGUAGCGGCGAGCGAACGGGGAGCAGCCCGGAGUCUGAAUCAGCUUGUGUGUUAGUGGAACGGUCUGGAAAGUCCGACGGUACAGGGUGAUAGUCCCGUACACGAAAGCACACUUGCUGUGAACUCGAAGAGUAGGGCGGGACACGUGGUAUCCUGUCUGAAUAUGGGGGGACCAUCCUCCAAGGCUAAAUACUCCUGACUGACCGAUAGUGAACCAGUACCGUGAGGGAAAGGCGAAAAGAACCCCGGCGAGGGGAGUGAAAAAGAACCUGAAACCGUGUACGUACAAGCAGUGGGAGCCUCUUUAUGGGGUGACUGCGUACCUUUUGUAUAAUGGGUCAGCGACUUAUAUUCUGUAGCAAGGUUAACCGUAUAGGGGAGCCGAAGGGAAACCGAGUCUUAACUGGGCGUUAAGUUGCAGGGUAUAGACCCGAAACCCGGUGAUCUAGCCAUGGGCAGGUUGAAGGUUGGGUAACACUAACUGGAGGACCGAACCGACUAAUGUUGAAAAAUUAGCGGAUGACCUGUGGCUGGGGGUGAAAGGCCAAUCAAACCGGGAGAUAGCUGGUUCUCCCCGAAAGCUAUUUAGGUAGCGCCUCGUGAACUCAUCUUCGGGGGUAGAGCACUGUUUCGGCUAGGGGGCCAUCCCGGCUUACCAACCCGAUGCAAACUACGAAUACCGAAGAAUGUUAUCACGGGAGACACACGGCGGGUGCUAACGUCCGUCGUGAAGAGGGAAACAACCCAGACCGCCAGCUAAGGUCCCAAAGUCAUGGUUAAGUGGGAAACGAUGUGGGAAGGCACAGACAGCCAGGAUGUUGGCUUAGAAGCAGCCAUCAUUUAAAGAAAGCGUAAUAGCUCACUGGUCGAGUCGGCCUGCGCGGAAGAUGUAACGGGGCUAAACCAUGCACCGAAGCUGCGGCAGCGACACUAUGUGUUGUUGGGUAGGGGAGCGUUCUGUAAGCCGUUGAAGGUGUGCUGUGAGGCAUGCUGGAGGUAUCAGAAGUGCGAAUGCUGACAUAAGUAACGAUAAAGCGGGUGAAAAGCCCGCUCGCCGGAAGACCAAGGGUUCCUGUCCAACGUUAAUCGGGGCAGGGUGAGUCGACCCCUAAGGCGAGGCCGAAAGGCGUAGUCGAUGGGAAACAGGUUAAUAUUCCUGUACUUGGUGUUACUGCGAAGGGGGGACGGAGAAGGCUAUGUCAGCCGGGCGACGGUUGUCCCGGUUUAAGCAUGUAGGCGGAGGUUCCAGGUAAAUCCGGUACCUUAUUAACGCUGAGGUGUGAUGACGAGGCACUACGGUGCUGAAGUGAUAAAUGCCCUGCUUCCAGGAAAAGCCUCUAAGCAUCAGGUAACACGAAAUCGUACCCCAAACCGACACAGGUGGUCAGGUAGAGAAUACCAAGGCGCUUGAGAGAACUCGGGUGAAGGAACUAGGCAAAAUGGUGCCGUAACUUCGGGAGAAGGCACGCUGAUGUGUAGGUGAAG
rnacentral:rRNA from 1 species